CCUACGGGUGGCAGCAGUGAGGAAUAUUGGUCAAUGGGCGGGAGCCUGAACCAGCCAAGCCGCGUGAAGGAAGAAGGCGCCAGGCGUCGUAAACUUCUUUUGUCGGGGAACAAAGGGCGCCACGCGUGGCGUUGUGAGUGUACCCGAAGAAAAAGCAUCGGCUAACUCCGUGCCAGCAGCCGCGGUAAUACGGAGGAUGCGAGCGUUAUCCGGAUUUAUUGGGUUUAAAGGGUGCGUAGGCGGAAGGUUAAGUCAGCGGUCAAAUGUCGGUGCUCAACACCGGCCUGCCGUUGAAACUGGUCUUCUUGAGUGAGCGAGAAGUAUGCGGAAUGCGUGGUGUAGCGGUGAAAUGCAUAGAUAUCACGCAGAACUCCGAUUGCGAAGGCAGCAUACCGGCGCUCAACUGACGCUGAGGCACGAAAGCGUGGGGAUCGAACAGGAUUAGAUACCCGAGUAGUC
rnacentral:rRNA from 1 species